rnacentral:rRNA from 1 species
UACGAAGGGGGCUAGCGUUGCUCGGAAUUACUGGGCGUAAAGGGCGCGUAGGCGGCACUGUUAGUCAGACGUGAAAUCCCUCGGCUUAACCGGGGAACUGCGUCUGAUACUGGAUGGCUUGAGUUUGGGAGAGGGAUGCGGAAUUCCAGGUGUAGCGGUGAAAUGCGUAGAUAUCUGGAGGAACACCGGUGGCGAAGGCGGCAUCCUGGACCAACACUGACGCUGAGUGAGCGAAAGCCAGGGGAGCAAACGGG